rnacentral:rRNA from 1 species
UACGUAGGUGGCAAGCGUUGUCCGGCUUUACUGGGCGUAAAGAGCGCGCAGGCGGUCGUUCAAGUCGCGUGUGAAAGCCCCCGGCUCAACUGGGGAGGGUCACGCGAUACUGAUCGACUCGAAGGCAGGAGAGGGAAGUGGAAUUCCCGGUGUAGUGGUGAAAUGCGUAGAUAUCGGGAGGAACACCAGUGGCGAAGGCGACGUCCUGGCCUGUUCUUGACGCUGAGGCGCGAAAGCUAGGGGAGCGAACAGG